CCUACGGGUGGCAGCAGUGGGGAAUAUUGCACAAUGGGGGAAACCCUGAUGCAGCGACGCCGCGUGAGGGAUGACGGAUUUCGGUAUGUAAAGCUCUAUCAGCAGGGGAGAUAAUUACGGUACGUGACUAAGAAGCUCCGGCUAAAUUCGUUCCAGCAGCCGCGGUAAUACGUAUGGAGCAAUCGUUAUCCGGAUUUACUGGGUGUAAAGGGAGCGCAGACGGCUGGGCAAGUCUGAUGUGAAAGUCCGGGGCUCAACCCCGGGACUGCAUUGGAAACUGUCCGGCUAGAGUGCAGGAGAGGUAAGUGGAAUUCCUAGUGUAGCGGUGAAAUGCAUAGAUAUCACGCAGAACUCCGAUUGCGAAGGCAGCAUACCGGCGCUCAACUGACGCUCAUGCACGAAAGUGUGGGUAUCGAACAGGAUUAGAUACCCUUGUAGUC
rnacentral:rRNA from 1 species